rnacentral:rRNA from 1 species
ACGCUGGCGGCAGGCUUAACACAUGCAAGUCGAACGGUAGCAGGAGAAAGCUUGCUUUCUUGCUGACGAGUGGCGGACGGGUGAGUAAUGCUUGGGAAUCUGGCUUAUGGAGGGGGAUAACGACGGGAAACUGUCGCUAAUACCGCGUAUUAUCGGAAGAUGAAAGUGCGGGACUGAGAGGCCGCAUGCCAUAGGAUGAGCCCAAGUGGGAUUAGGUAGUUGGUGGGGUAAAUGCCUACCAAGCCUGCGAUCUCUAGCUGGUCUGAGAGGAUGACCAGCCACACUGGAGCUGAGACACGGUCCAGACUCCUACGGGAGGCAGCAGUGGGGAAUAUUGCGCAAUGGGGGGAACCCUGACGCAGCCAUGCCGCGUGAAUGAAGAAGGCCUUAGGGUUGUAAAGUUCUUUCGGUAUUGAGGAAGGUUGAUGUGUUAAUAGCACAUCAAAUUGACGUUAAAUACAGAAGAAGCACCGGCUAACUCCGUGCCAGCAGCCGCGGUAAUACGGAGGGUGCGAGCGUUAAUCGGAAUAACUGGGCGUAAAGGGCACGCAGGCGGUUAUUUAAGUGAGGUGUGAAAGCCCUGGGCUUAACCUAGGAAUUGCAUUUCAGACUGGGUAACUAGAGUACUUUAGGGAGGGGUAGAAUUCCACGUGUAGCGGUGAAAUGCGUAGAGAUGUGGAGGAAUACCGAAGGCGAAGGCAGCCCCUUGGGAAUGUACUGACGCUCAUGUGCGAAAGCGUGGGGAGCAAACAGGAUUAGAUACCCUGGUAGUCCACGCUGUAAACGCUGUCGAUUUGGGGGUUGGGGUUUAACUCUGGCGCCCGUAGCUAACGUGAUAAAUCGACCGCCUGGGGAGUACGGCCGCAAGGUUAAAACUCAAAUGAAUUGACGGGGGCCCGCAC